UGGCACCUUGAUCUUGGACUUCUGGUCUCC
rnacentral:piRNA from 1 species